CAGGAAGAAGGGCUAGAGAAGAGGGGGAAAGGGGCUAGGAUUUCCCGAGCUCGAGCCGCUGAAGGCCUGAGGGAAGGGGAUUUCAGUUCGGAGUUGGAAAUGAGUCGUUCGGGUGCGUCAUCCCCUCGCCCGCGCCCCGCGACCGCGCUGGCCCUCGAAGAGGGUUGGGACUGUGCCCGCUGCGCCCUGGCCCCGGCGACCUCUUCGGCAGCCCCUUCCUCCCCGCCCCCAGCCGGCGGGCUGCCCGCGCGCCCGCGCUGCCCUUCGCGCGCGCCCGCGCCUGCUGGGCGCCCCUUCCACGCCGCGCUUCCCUGCUCGCCCCCGCGCCUGCUGGGCGCCGAGGCCAGUCCCAGAGGCCGGCAAGACAGGGACCAGAGCUGGGCCGGGACCCUCCGGGAGUCCCCAUGGGACACACCAUCCAGGAAGAGAGAAGACAGAGGAAACGAGCUAUUGCAAAACGACGCUAAGAAUUAAGACCACUUCUGGGCAAAAUUGUGAAGCAGAGGAAGGGAAGAAAACUGAAAAGGAUGGAGAGGACCUGCCAUGGGCCAGGUUCAGUUUGUUCUCUGGCAAGAAUAUAGAAGAAAUGAUGCUGCACCAUCCUCCUUGCAUCCUAUCAGGGUACUAAUAAAUAAGCGUGGAAACUUCUAGAAGAAAGAAAUCCACUAAGGUAGGGUGAAUGAAUGAUCAUUAUGUUUUACCUAUUUUGGAAGGUGGAGGGACAACAGUUUUGUCUAUUUCCUUCUAUGAUGUAAUUGAGAAACACUGAAGUCUUCAGAAAAGUAAAAUGAUGUGACAAAAAAAGAUGUCUGAGAAAUAUUGUAUCUUAGGGAGGGAGAAAAAGAACCUAAGUCAGUUUAACAAAGAUCCGUGUUGAUUGUUACGAUGGCCAAGAUGAAUGGAUUGGUUGCACAGCAGUCUGUUCAUUUGGCUCAGAUAGGCACUGCCAAGAGUAACUUGGGUACAAUUUUGCUCUGUGCUAAUUAGAAUUGGUCAAAUGGUCCUCUGAUGAAUUUCCUCCCCUAGAUAGUAUUUGAGAGGAUAUACAACAACAAAGUAAUUAU